rnacentral:ncRNA from 2 species
GGUAGGGUCCAGCGGCUGGA